AAACAACGGAGAGUUUGAUCCUGGCUCAGGAUGAACGCUAGCGACAGGCCUAACACAUGCAAGUCGAGGGGCAGCGGGGAGCUGAGCUUGCUCAGCUCUGCCGGCG
rnacentral:rRNA from 1 species